rnacentral:rRNA from 1 species
CCUACGGGGGGCUGCAGUCGAGAAUCAUUCACAAUGGGGGAAACCCUGAUGGUGCGACGCCGCGUGGGGGAAUGAAGUUCUUCGGAUUGUAAACCCCUGUCAUGUGGGAGCAAAUUAAAACGAUCGUACCACACGAGGAAGAGACGGCUAACUCUGUGCCAGCAGCCGCGGUAAUACAGAGGUCUCAAGCGUUGUUCGGAAUCACUGGGCGUAAAGCGUGCGUAGGCUGUUUCGUAAGUCGUGUGUGAAAGGCGCGGGCUCAACCCGCGGACGGCACAUGAUACUGCGAGACUAGAGUAAUGGAGGGGGAACCGGAAUUCUCGGUGUAGCAGUGAAAUGCGUAGAUAUCGAGAGGAACACUCGUGGCGAAGGCGGGUUCCUGGACAGUAACUGACGCUGAGGCACGAAGGCCAGGGGAGCGAAAGGGAUUAGAUACCCUAGUAGUC